rnacentral:rRNA from 1 species
UGCUUCCGAUAGGCGUCGACCGGCGCACGGGUGAGUAACGCGUAUCCAACCUGCCCAUCACUUGGGAAUAACCUUGCGAAAGUAAGACUAAUGCCCAAUGACAUUUAUAGAAGGCAUCUGAAAUGAAUUAAAGAUUUAUCGGUGAUGGAUGGGGAUGCGUCUGAUUAGCUUGUUGGCGGGGUAACGGCCCACCAAGGCGACGAUCAGUAGGGGUUCUGAGAGGAAGGUCCCCCACAUUGGAACUGAGACACGGUCCAAACUCCUACGGGAGGCAGCAGUGAGGAAUAUUGGUCAAUGGGCGAGAGCCUGAACCAGCCAAGUAGCGUGCAGGAUGACGGCCCUAUGGGUUGUAAACUGCCUUUAUAGGGGAAUAAAGUGAGCCACGUGUGGUUUUUUGCAUGUACCCUAUGAAUAAGGACCGGCUAAUUCCGUGCCAGCAGCCGCGGUAAUACGGAAGGUCCGGGCGUUAUCCGGAUUUAUUGGGUUUAAAGGGAGCGUAGGCCGGAGAUUAAGCGUGUUGUGAAAUGUAGAUGCUCAACAUCUGAACUGCAGCGCGAACUGGUUUCCUUGAGUACGCAUAAAGUGGGCGGAAUUCGUGGUGUAGCGGUGAAAUGCUUAGAUAUCACGAAGAACUCCGAUUGCGAAGGCAGCUCACUGGGGCGCAACUGACGCUGAAGCUCGAAAGCGCGGGUAUCGAACAGGAUUAGAUACCCUGGUAGUCCGCGCGGUAAACGAUGGAUGCCCGCUGUUGGGCCAACUGGUUCAGCGGCCAAGCGAAAGCAUUAAGCAUCCCACCUGGGGAGUACGCCGGC